GACGAACGCUGGCGGCGUGCUUAACACAUGCAAGUCGAACGGAAAGGCCCUGCUUUUGUGGGGUGCUCGAGUGGCGAACGGGUGAGUAACACGUGAGUAACCUGCCCUUGACUUUGGGGUAACUUCAGGAAACUGGGGCUAAUACCGGAUAGGAGCUCCUGCUGCAUGGUGGGGGUUGGAAAGUUUCGGCGGUUGGGGAUGGACUCGCGGCUUAUCAGCUUGUUGGUGGGGUAGUGGCUUACCAAGGCUUUGACGGGUAGCCGGCCUGGGAGGGUGGCCGGCCACAUGGGGCCUGAGAUACGGCCCAGACUGCAACGGGAGGCAGCAGGGGGGAAUAUGGCACAGUGGGCGGAAGCCAGAUGCAGCAACGCCGGGUGCGGGAUGACGGGCUUCGGGUGGGAAACCGCUGUCGCCUUAGACGAGGCGUUAGUGACGGUAACGGGUAAAGAAGCACCGGCUAACUACGUG
rnacentral:rRNA from 1 species